AUUGAACGCUGGCGGCAUGCCUUACACAUGCAAGUCGAACGGUAACAGGUCUUAGGGUGCUGACGAGUGGCGGACGGGUGAGUAAUACAUCGGAACGUGCCCGAUCGUGGGGGAUAACGAAGCGAAAGCUUUGCUAAUACCGCAUACGAUCUACGGAUGAAAGCGGGGGAUCUUCGGACCUCGCGCGGACGGUGCGGCCGAUGGCGGAUUAGGUAGUUGGUGGGAUAAAAGCUUACCAAGCCGACGAGCUGUAGCUGGUCUGAGAGGAUGAUCAGCCACACUGGGACUGAGACACGGCCCAGACUCCUACGGGAGGCAGCAGUGGGGAAUUUUGGACAACGGGCGCAAGCCUGAUCCAGCCAUGCCGCGUGGAGGAUGAAGGCCUUCGGGUUGUAAACUGCUUUUGUACGGAACGAAAAGGUGCCUUCUAAUAAAGGGCGCUCAUGACGGUACCGGAAGAAUAAGCACCGGCUAACUACGUG
rnacentral:rRNA from 1 species